AGGAAAGAGAUCAUGCCCUUUGCAGGAACAUGGAUGAAGCUGGAAGCCAUCAUCCUCAGCAAACUAACACAGGAACAGAAAACCAAACACCACAUGUUCUCACUCAUAAGUGGAGUUGAACAUUGAGAACAUAUGGACACAGAGAGGGGAACAACAAACACCAGGGCCUGUUGGGGGGUAGGGGGUGAGGGGAGGGAACUUAGAGGAUGGAUCAAUAGGUGCAGCAAAACACCAUGGCACACGUAUACCUAUGUAACAAACCUGCAUGUUCUGUACCCGUAUCCCCCCCCUUUUCUUGGAAGAAAUAAAAAAAUAAGAGGGCUCUAUCCAUCAUGGCUGUUGGCUGUCAAAUUAUUUUGAGUGAAUAGAAACCCAUGGUUCCACCUGGAGAACAGAGGGUAUAAAUCCCUCCUGUCCACCACACAGGAUUUUCAGGAGGAGGCACUGACAGAAUGGAUAGGAAAGAGCUGACGUUGUUACUAUCAUUAUUACCGAUCAGCCUAACUCAUAGGUAUAUGCAGUUCUUCAUUCCUUUGAGUUAUUUCAUAAGGAUGGCUGUUCUCAACUUGAACGCCAAGUCUUGAAUGCUUGUCUUGAUGGGUUGUGGAACUUGCAACCGAUUUGUUAAUAAGUGAAAUACUGCAUUUGGUGAAUUAUUUACUUAAUUCAGAUGAUUCCCAGAAUAACUUCCUUCACUGGGAUGUAUCUUGUUGAGUGGCAACAAAACAGGGAUUGUACGUGAUUCCCAUCCUAGCUUAAUAGGCGUUAGUCCAAAACCCAGGAAUGUGCCAUCCGUGGGGAUGUUUUGGGUGGAUGGGUAGAAAAAGGGUGGAAACCCUUGUCAUAGGAUAUAUUUCUGGUAAGGAGAUGCCUAGGUCAAUAGGUUUCAACAUUUUUAUGGUUCUUGAUACUGUGAAAAAUUACCUCCCCAAAGGAUUCCAUCAAUGUGUUCAGCCUUUGAGAUUGUAUGCUACACCGUUUACAGAGCUCUUUCGGUCAUGUUGGUUAUUGUUUUGUAGGUUUGGUGAGUGUCGUACCCCAGUUUAACAGGUAGGGAGAUCGAGACUUGGAGACAGACGGAAUGACAUGUGAAGUUCACAAUCCUUUUUCCUGGCCGGAGGAUCCAGGUUCUCUGAAGCUUAGUUGAGACUGAGCUAAAGUUAAUCUGUGGCGACGUUCUGGAUGUACUGGACAAACACCUCAUUCCAGCAGCUACCACUGGCAAGUCCAAGGUUUUCUAUUAUGAAAUGUAGGUUCUAUACUAACAAUUAACAAGUGUACUUCAAUACAUUUAAACAUUCUCAGGAAUAAUUGGCUUUGUUUCUUUUUUUUCUUAGGCAUUUAAUAUUAUUUUCCUUAUUAAAUGUAACCAAAAAUCCCACAGAAAUUAACAAGAGGAGGAGCCUCUAAAUAUCAACAAAAUUAUCACUUAAUAGACUAGAAUUAAACAAGCAAAUGAUUCUAAGAAAUGGCACAAGUGUAUUCAUCAUAAAAUAAAAUUUCUACAUGAAACAUUUAGCCAUUCCAGACCA